rnacentral:lncRNA from 1 species
AACUGUGCCACGAAGUCGUCGUGUCUGGCCCACGUUUGCAUCCCCUACAAAGGCGGCCUGAAAUUGAUGAAAGCGUUCAGUGUCCGUUAAACUCCAGCCUGCAUUAGAAAGAUCUGCAUCAAGCUGAAUGUGUUACCCAGAUGGAACUGGAACUCGAGAUUCUCCAAUCUCAGCCUCCCCGAGUGCAGAGAUUACAGAGACAUGUGACACGGAUGAACCUUGAUAGCUUCCUGGACCUCGCUGUGCAGUACAGGCUGGCCUUGAAUGCUAGCCUCGAACUCGUGGCGAUCCUGCCUCAGCCUGCCUCAGCCUGCCUCAGCCUGCCUCAGCCUGCCUCAUCCUCUUGGCUCUGAUUUGCUCCUGUACCCUUGCUGCUGCACAUCCAUCCGGGUCGACCCCCCGCUACCCCAGUCAUUCACAGAUUUCCUCCACAGGAG